ensembl:lncRNA
GCAUGCUGGGAAGUUUCUAUGAGGUUUCCGUUCACAAAGGGCCGUGCCAACAUUCUGAUCCAACAGACAAAGCAGAGCUCAGUGUGACAGUCUGGUUGGGUAAUGGGGCUGAAAUUACUAGCAAGAACACACAGAGACACACACACACACACACAGGUGCACACACAGGUGCACGCUCACACACACACAAGUGCACAUUCACACACACAUUCACACACACACACACACACACACAGGUGCACGCUCACACACACACACACACACACACAGAGACAGACACACACACACACAGAGAGAGACACACAAACACACACAGAGACAGACACACACACACAGGUGCACACUCACACACACGACCAGGUGCGCACACACACACACACACACACAC